rnacentral:tRNA from 1 species
ACCUGGCUGGCUCAGUCAUUAGAGCAUCUGACUCUUGACCUCAGGGUCAUGAGUUCAAGCCCCAUGUUGGGUG